rnacentral:rRNA from 1 species
GACGAACCGUGCGAACGUUGUUCGGAUUCACUGGGCUUAAAGGGCGCGUAGGCGGUACGUCAAGUCUGGGGUGAAAUCUUUCGGCUCAACUGGAAAAUUGCCUGAGAUACUGGCGUGCUCGAGGGAGGUAGGGGCAGCGGGAACUGCCGGUGGAGCGGUGAAAUGCGUUGAUAUCGGCAGGAACGCCGGUGGCGAAAGCGCGUUGCUGGACCUCUUCUGACGCUGAUGCGCGAAAGCUAGGGGAGCAAACGGG